CAGUCCCCGAGGCGGAUCCGGUGUUGCAUCCUUGGAGAGAGCUGAGAGCUCGAGUACAGAACCUGCUAAGGCCAUCAAACCUAUUGAUCGGAAGUCAGUCCAUCAGAUUUGCUCUGGGCCGGUGGUACUGAGUCUAAGCACUGCGGUGAAGAAGAUAGUAGAAAACAGUCUGGAUGCUGGUGCCGCUAAUAUUGAUCUAAAGCUUAAGGACUAUGGAAUGGAUCUCAUUGAAGUUUCAGGCAAUGGAUGUGGGGUAGAAGAAGAAAACUUCGAAGGCUUAAUGAUGUCACCAUUUCUACCUGCCACGUAUCGGCGAAGGUUGGGACUCGACUGGUGUUUUUGAUCACGAUGGGAAAAUCAUCCAGAAAACCCCCUACCCCCACCCCAGAGGGACCACAGUCAGCGUGAAGCAGUUAUUUUCUACGCUACCUGUGCGCCAUAAGGAAUUUCAAAGGAAUAUUAAGAAGGACUCCUAGAAGUACCCCACCCCACCCCUGCUCCUUGGAGGACAACGUGAUCACUGUAUUCAGCUCUGUCAAGAAUGGUCCAGGUUCUUCUAGAUGAUCUGCACAAAUGGUUCCUCUCCUCCUUCCUGAUGUCUGCCAUUAGCAUUGGAAUAAAGUUCCUGCUGAAAAUCCA